rnacentral:lncRNA from 1 species
GGAAGGCAUUUCCAAUUGCCAGGCCAACUUUCAGUGGCUUCUCCUAGCAGGAUUUCUCUUCAGCAGGUCCACGAUGUCAUAGCAACCUGAUAUGUGGCAGGAAUCCUCAAACAUCCGCAAGCAUUGCACCCAAUAGGCCUACGGCACCAAAUCCUAAGAUGAGCCUCCAGUCUCCUCCAAACUCAACAAGGACAUAUAUGUUCUAUCAUCCUGAACACGACCCCAUGAGGCAGAAACGCUUGCCAAAUCCAUUGGGAAAUUCUACUUAAAGGUUAAAGCCAAAGCUGCUUUGCAAAGGAAAGCUGUUCUAUGGUCAAGUUCACUGUCGGCCACAAUAACAAAAUGACUUACUAGUACUAAUCAGCUAAUCCUGGUAAGACACACCAACAGUCAAAACCACUGCUGAUUCCAAAAGUUUAAACAUGGCUGAGUUGCAUCUCUUCUUUGCGGAGCUGAAUUCUAGAAGAUUCGCAAUUGUCUCCUUCAGCCACUGAGAGAAUGAGAGGAGACAAAAUCAUGCAACAUUUCCAGCGAGACUGAACCCACAAGUGCUGAGAGCUCCUCGCGUCUGCUUUGACGCUACAUUGACGCUCCAUGGCAUGGAAAAGGGGCUGGCUUCCUAAUGUGGAGAGGAAGUUUAUGCAUUCUAAGGAAGAGAAGCUGCUCUCUCCUUGGACGUCCUGCUCACCUAGGCACCUGGGGUCCAUCUUUCAUCUGGCUCUAAUCAUCUUGGCCAAGAACACGCCUCCUGACUCCCCUCAGCACAGACCCCACAGUUUUCUGGAAGGCUGUCUCCAAAGCACACAGAAGAACAGGAGGCUUCCUCUGCACCCUGAUUUGUGUUAAAGGCACGUUUUUAUUUCCAAACUUG